AGGACAAACGCUGGCGGCGUGCCUAAGACAUGCAAGUCGGACGGGGGGGUUUCGGCCCCUUAGUGGCGGACGGGUGAGGAGCGCGUGGAGAACCUGCCCCGGGGUGGGGGAUACCAGCCAGAAAUGGCUGUUAAGACCGCAUACGACCAUCUGGUGUAGGCUGGGUGGGGAAAGCAGUGAUGUGCCCUGGGAGGGCUCCGCGUCGGAUUAGCUGGUUGGUGGGGUAACGGCCUACCAAGGCGACGAUCCGUAGCUGGUCUGAGAGGACGGCCAGCCACACUGGGACUGAGACACGGCCCAGACUCCUACGGGAGGCAGCAGUUAGGGAAUUUUGACAAUGGGCGCAAGCCUGAUCGAGUGACGCCGCGUGCGGGACGACGCCUUUCGGGGUGUAAACCGCUUUUCCCAGGGACGAGGAUGGACGGUACCUGGGGAAGAAGUCUCGGCUAACUACGUGCCAGCAGCCGC
rnacentral:rRNA from 1 species